rnacentral:lncRNA from 1 species
AUGGGCAAUGUGCUUGGAUUUUUCUUCAAAAUUUGAUCUAUUUCCUUCUUUUUCUUGAUAGAAUAGAUGGAUUAAGUCCAUCUAGCACGAGAAUAUUCAGUCAAAUCAUAUUAUAAAAUAUUUUUUAAAGGAUGCAUCAUGAAAGUUUAAUCAAACAAGAUGAUUCCUCCUGAGUGUUCUGUUCCUCCUUUUUCGGUGCUCGG